AAUGAACGUUGGCGGCAUGGAUUAGGCAUGCAAGUCGAGCGAGAACCCCGCAAGGGGGGACAGCGGCGAAAGGGACAGUAAUGUGUAGAUUAUCUGCCCUCAGGUCCGGGAUAGCUGCGGGAAACUGCAGGUAAUACCGGAUAACAUCUCCGGAUCAAAGGUGUGAUUCCGCCUGAGGAUGAGUCUGCAUCCUAUUAGCUAGUUGGUGGGGUAAUGGCCUACCAAGGCAUGGAUGGGUAGCAGGUGUGAGAGCACGACCUGCGUCAUUGGGACUGAGACACUGCCCAGACACCUACGGGUGGCUGCAGUCGAGAAUCUUCGGCAAUGGGCGCAAGCCUGACCGAGCGACGCCGCGUGUGGGAUGAAGGCCUUCGGGUUGUAAACCACUGUCAGAGGGGAUGAAAUGCAGGUGGGUUCUCCCAUCUGUUUGACAUAGCCUCAGAGGAAGGACGGGCUAAGUUCGUG
rnacentral:rRNA from 1 species